CCUACGGGUGGCAGCAGUAGGGAAUAUUGCUCAAUGGGGGAAACCCUGAAGCAGCAACGCCGCGUGGAGGAUGAAGGUUUUCGGAUUGUAAACUCCUUUUGUUAGAGAAGAUAAUGACGGUAUCUAACGAAUAAGCACCGGCUAACUCCGUGCCAGCAGCCGCGGUAAUACGGAGGGUGCAAGCGUUACUCGGAAUCACUGGGCGUAAAGAGGGCGUAGGCGGGAUAGCAAGUCAGAUGUGAAAUCCUAUGGCUUAACCAUGGAACUGCAUUUGAAACUGUUAUUCUAGAGUGUAGGAGAGGUAGGUGGAAUUCUUGGUGUAGGGGUAAAAUCCGUAGAGAUCAAGAGGAAUACUCAUUGCGAAGGCGACCUGCUAGAACAUAACUGACGCUGAUGCGCGAAAGCGUGGGGAGCAAACAGGAUUAGAUACCCUUGUAGUC
rnacentral:rRNA from 1 species